rnacentral:rRNA from 1 species
GACGAACGCUGGCGGCGUGCUUAACACAUGCAAGUCGAACGGAAAGGCCCUGCUUUUGUGGGGUGCUCGAGUGGCGAACGGGUGAGUAACACGUGAGUAACCUGCCCUUGACUUUGGGAUAACUUCAGGAAACUGGGGCUAAUACCGGAUAGGAGCUCCUGCUGCAUGGUGGGGGUUGGAAAGUUUCGGCGGUUGGGGAUGGACUCGCGGCUUAUCAGCUUGUUGGUGGGGUAGUGGCUUACCAAGGCUUUGACGGGUAGCCGGCCUGAGAGGGUGACCGGCCACAUGGGGACUGGGAUACGGCCCAGACUCCUACGGGGGGCAGGGGGGGGGAAUAUUGAAAAAGGGGGGGAAGCCUGAGGCAGAAACGCCGGGUGCGGGAUGACGGCCUUCGGGUUGUAAACCGCUUUCGCCUGUGACGAAGCGGGAGUGACGGUAAUGGGUAAAGAAGCACCGGCUAACUACGU